AGUGAACGCUGGCGGUAGGCCUAACACAUGCAAGUCGAACGGAAGCACAGUAAGAGCUUGCUCCUAAGGGUGGCGAGUGGCGGACGGGUGAGGAAUACAUCGGAAUCUACUAUUUCGUGGGGGAUAACGUGGGGAAACUUACGCUAAUACAGCAUACGACCUACGGGAGAAAGCAGGGGAUAUUCGGACCUUGCGCGACAGAAUGAGACGAAGUCGGAUUAGCUAGUUGGCGGGGUAAAGGCACACCAAGGCAACGAUGCGUAGCUGGUCUGAGAGGAUGAUCAGCCACACUGGAACUGAGACACGGUCCAGACUCCUACGGGAGGCAGCAGUGGGGAAUAUUGGACAAUGGGCGCAAGCCUGAUCCAGCCAUACCGCGUGGGUGAAGAAGGCCUUCGGGUUGUAAAGCCCUUUUGUUGGGAAAGAAAAGCAGCAGGUGAAUACCCCGCUGUUCUGACGGUACCCAAAGAAUAAGCACCGGCUAACUUCGUG
rnacentral:rRNA from 1 species